rnacentral:misc_RNA from 1 species
GAUGAAGAACGUAGCGAAAUGCGAUAAGUAGUGUGAAUUGCAGAAUUCAGUGAAUCAUCGAAUCUUUGAACGCACAUUGCGCCCCUUGGUAUUCCAUGGGGCAUGCCUGUUCGAGCGUCAUUUGUACCCUCAAGCUUUGCUUGGUGAUGGGCGUUUGUUCCGCCUCCGCGCGUGGACUCGCCCCAAAUUCAUUGGCAGCGGUCCUUGCCUCCUCUCGCGCAGCACAUUGCGCUUCUCGAGGGGCUACGGCUCGCGUCCAACAAGCACAUUUACCGUCUUUGACCUCGGAUCAGGUAGGGAUACCCGCUGAACUUAAGCAUAUCAAUAAGCGGAGGA